GAUAACCUCGGGAAACUGGGGAUAAUACCGGAUAACGCAUAUGUGCUGGAAUGCUUUAUGCGUAAAACGGAUUCGUCCGCCCAAGGAUGGGUCUGCGGCCUGUCAGGUAGUAGUGGGUGUAAUGUACCUACUAGCCAACAACGGGUACGGGUUGUGAGAGCAAGAGCCCGGAGAUGGAUUCUGAGACAUGAAUCCAGGCCCUACGGGGCGCAGCAGGCGCGAAAACUUUACAAUGCGGGAAACCGUGAUAAGGGAACACCGAGUGCCAGCAACAUAUGCUGGCUGUCCAGAUGUGUAAAGUACAUCUGUUAGCAAGGGCCGGGCAAGACCGGUGCCAGCCGCCGCGGUAACACCGGCGGCCCGAGUGGUGACCGUUAUUAUUGGGUCUAAAGGGUCCGUAGCCGGUUUGGUCAGUCCUCCGGGAAAUCUGAUAGCUUAACUGUUAGGCUUUCGGGGGAUACUGCCAGGCUUGGAACCGGGAGAGGUAAGAGGUACUACAGGGGUAGGAGUGAAAUCUUGUAAUCCCUGUGAGACCACCUGUGGCGAAGGCGUCUUACCAGAACGGGUUCGACGGUGAGGGACGAAAGCUGGGGGCACGAACCGGAUUAGAUACCCGGGUAGUCCCAGCCGUAAACUAUGCUCGCUAGGUGUCAGGCAUGGCGCGACCGUGUCUGGUGCCGCAGGGAAGCCGUGAAGCGAGCCACCUGGGAAAUACGGCCGCAAGGCUGAAACUUAAAGGAAUUGGCGGGGGAGCACAACAACGGGUGGAGCCUGCGGUUUAAUUGGACUCAACGCCGGACAACUCACCGGGGACGACAGCAAAAUGUAGGCCAGGCUGAAGACCUUGCCUGAAUCGCUGAGAGGAGUGCAU
rnacentral:rRNA from 1 species